rnacentral:rRNA from 1 species
CCUACGGGUGGCAGCAGUGAGGAAUAUUGGUCAAUGGGCUUACGCCUGAACCAACCAAGUCGCGUGAGGGAAGACUGCCCUAUGGGUUGUAAACCUCUUUUGUCAGGGAGCAAUUGGCGCUACGUGUAGCGUUAUCGAGAGUACCUGAAGAAAAAGCAUCGGCUAACUCCGUGCCAGCAGCCGCGGUAAUACGGAGGAUGCGAGCGUUAUCCGGAUUUAUUGGGUUUAAAGGGUGCGUAGGCGGAAUGCCAAGUCAGCGGUAAAAUCGCGGGGCUCAACCUCGCUCCGCCGUUGAAACUGGCGUGCUCGAGUUGGAGAGAAGUAUGCGGAAUUCGUGGUGUAGCGAUGAAAUGCAUAGAUAUCACGAAGAACCCCGAUUGCGAAGGCAGCAUACCGGCUCCACACUGACGCUGAGGCACGAAAGCGUGGGUAUCGAACAGGAUUAGAUACCCUGGUAGUC